GCUUGGCGGGCUCAGUCAGUAGAGUAUGGGACUCUUGAUCUCAGGGUCGUGAGUUCAAGCCCCAUGUUGGGCG
rnacentral:tRNA from 1 species